GGGAAUGUGGCUGAAUUGGUAGAGCGCUUGCCUAGAAUGCACAAAGCCCUGGGUUUGAUCCCCAGCACCA
rnacentral:tRNA from 1 species